rnacentral:rRNA from 1 species
CCUACGGGUGGCAGCAGUGGGGAAUAUUGGACAAUGGGCGAAAGCCUGAUCCAGCCAUGCCGCGUGUGUGAAGAAGGCCUUCGGGUUGUAAAGCACUUUCAGUGGGGAAGAAAGCCUUGGGGCUAAUACCCUCGAGGAAGGACAUCACCCACAGAAGAAGCACCGGCUAACUCCAUGCCAGCAGCCGCGGUAAUACGGAGGGUGCGAGCGUUAAUCGGAAUUACUGGGCGUAAAGCGCGCGUAGGCGGUCUGAUAAGCCGGUUGUGAAAGCCCCGGGCUCAACCUGGGAACGGCAUCCGGAACUGUCAGGCUAGAGUGCAGGAGAGGAAGGUAGAAUUCCCGGUGUAGCGGUGAAAUGCGUAGAGAUCGGGAGGAAUACCAGUGGCGAAGGCGGCCUUCUGGACUGACACUGACGCUGAGGUGCGAAAGCGUGGGUAGCAAACAGGAUUAGAUACCCCGGUAGUC